UCCCUGGUAGCUCAGAGGUUAAAGCGUCUGCCUGCAAUGCAGGAGAUCUGGGUUCGAUCCCUGGGUUGGGAA
rnacentral:tRNA from 1 species